rnacentral:misc_RNA from 1 species
GAAGGAGCGUCUCGACGCGGAGCUAAAGCUCGUCGGCGAGUAUGGCCUCCGUUGCAAGCGCGAGCUGUGGCGUGUCCAGUACGCGCUGAGCCGGAUCCGGAAUGCGGCGAGGGAGUUACUGACGCUCGACGAGAAGAAUCCUCGCCGGAUCUUCGAGGGCGAGGCGCUUCUCCGCCGUAUGAAUCGGUACGGGCUCCUCGAGGAGGGACAGAACAAGCUCGAUUACGUGCUUGCACUCACCGUUGAGAACUUCCUUGAGCGCCGCCUUCAGACGCAGGUGUUCAAAUCGGGCAUGGCGAAGUCGAUACAUCAUGCUCGUGUUUUGAUCCGUCAGCGUCACAUCAGGGUUGGGCGUCAGGUGGUGAACAUUCCCUCGUUCAUGGUGAGAGUUGAUUCUGCUAAGCAUAUUGAUUUUGCCCUCAACAGUCCACUUGGAGGAGGUGGCCCUGGAAGAGUGAAGCGAAGGAACCUUAAGAAAGCUUCCACUAAGAAGGGAGCUGAUGGUGAUGAAGAGGAAGAGGAUUGAGUGAGUGCUUGUGCUUUUGUUCUUAGAGAUGAUUAAAAACUGUAGCUGUGCUUUAAAUUAGUUAAUGAAAGGUUGGCUGUCUUAUUUCAUAAGAUAUAUGCUUUGAGACUGUUUU